GUUGAUUGGAAAGCGGCGCCACCCAGCUGUUUUGUUUUUUAUUUUAUAUUUUUCAAAAUACAAUUCAAAAUUCUUGUUUCUUGUUAAAUGUUACCCAUUUGAUAAAGCAUGAUUUAUAUUUUAUAAAAUCAUCCAUCAUUAUUAAUUUAUUUAGCAUUUCUAUGAAUUGUGCUAGCUACUCUAAAACAAUAAAAUUAUUUCAUCAUGGACGACUUCUUAUCCCAACUAGACAUAAAUCCAAAUGCUAAUUUAGAUGAACUUCCAAAGCAAUUCGCUUCUGUGAUGCUAUUCAUGCAAAUUGAUCGACACAUUGAGCCGAAUGCCAAUGAAAUUAGGAUGUUUCUGAGAGCUGCAUUAUUUUUGCAUGGAAACCUAGAAAUUCAUGGACAAACUUUAGAACAAAAACUAAAAGAAUAUCAACAAAUUAAAAAAACAGAACUUAAUUCAAUACUGACGAAAUUCCACGAUGGAAGUCUUCUAGACGAUGUAUGCGAAAGACUUCUCAUGACUGAAACGGGACCUAAUCACAUAUUGGAAAUACAAACAUUUUGUAAUGAUUUCCUUGAUCCAAUUCGAUAUUUGAAUAUAUUGCGUAGAGCUCAAGAUAUUCGAUGUAAGGAGUCGAAUAUUGAUGAGAUUGCUGCGGAGGCUAAAUUCCUAAUCACCACAACCUUUCAAUUAAAAACCCCGCGCGAUAUCGAUACUGCCAUUAAAAGACUUCUAGACAACGUUAAUUUUGAUACUUUAGCUUGGAUAAUCAAUUUCAAUGAACCAAACACUUACUUCUUUAUGAAAUGCUUAAUUAUACAAAAGGAAAUAUGCUCGGGAUUGGAACAUGGAUUGAUUAGUGAAAAUUUCAUAGCUUCCAUGUACGAAGUAAGUUCGCAAGAUGAGACUGGACUAAGUACAUACAUAAAAUGCUUACAAAAUAAAUAUUUUGCAAAUAGCUUGAUGGUAUUUUGCAUAAACUAUCUAACUGCAAUUGGAAAUAGAAGUUUAGAAGUUGAUAAACCGGAUAUUAUGAAACAUGACUUACUUCAUGUGAGUUUUUUAAUAGCUGGAAUGUUAUCGAGUAAGUCGGAGUGCCGAGUGGAGUUUCACAAAAAGCUUGCUGCAAUGUCGGUUAGCGUUAACGUACUUUUAAGUAUAAGUCAUUUGAAUUUUAUUUAUAAUUUUUAAAGCCUUAAGAUGAAUUGACUGCCUGUUGAGCUAUGAAAUAAAUUCGUUUUCAAUAGGAGGAACUGAAACUAAACGACACUUCCAACUUGCAAAUCUUCAACAAAGAACAAAAUCUUCGCUGAUAUUUUCCUGAUGACGGGGUUUAAUGCUUUUUAAAUCG